GACUCAACACGGGGAAACUCACCAGGUCCAGACAUAACUAGGAUUGACAGAUUGAUAGCUCUUUCUUGAUUUUAUGGGUGGUGGUGCAUGGCCGUUCUUAGUUGGUGGAGUGAUUUGUCUGGUUAAUUCCGAUAACGAACGAGACCUUAACCUGCUAAAUAGCCAGACCGUCUUUUGAUGGUUGCAGGCUUCUUAGAGGGACUGUCAGGAUCUACCUGACGGAAGUUUGAGGCAAUAACAGGUCUGUGAUGCCCUUGACCGAUGAUACGAUCACUACUGUUGUAUUACAUCUAGGGGCAAAAAGUAAGCUCAAAGUGCUUGCUAGUGGUGACAGUGAUACACUUGGAUUCAAGUGGUACACUGUUAUUGCGACACGUUCAAAUUGCGGGAAACUCCUAAAGCUCUGUGCUACCGUCUUCUGAGGUGAAAGCCCUAUUAGACACCAGGUUAACUGCCUUGGGUAUGGUAAGAAGGCCAGAGAUGUUACAAUGGAUCAUCCGCAGCGAAGUCCGCUGACCAAUCUGUUGGUCGUGGAGCGCGUUCAGAGACUAGAUGUUCGUGGGCUGCUUGGGCGGCUUAAGGUAUAGUCCUUCCAAGCCUGAAAGGGCUUGGGUUCAAAGUAGAUGUUCUGGGCCGCACGCGCGCUACACUGACAAAGCCAGCGAGUUUAUCACCUUGGCCGGAAGGUCCGGGUAAUCUUGUGAAACUUUGUCGUGCUGGGGAUAGAGCAUUGCAAUUAUUGCUCUUCAACGAGGAAUGCCUAGUAAGCGCAAGUCAUCAGCUUGCGUUGAUUACGUCCCUGCCCUUUGUACACACCGCCCGUCGCUACUACCGAUUGAAUGGCUUAGUGAGGUCUUUGGAUUGGCUUUAGGGACCCGGCAACGGGACUCUGUUGCUGAGAAGUUGAUCAAACUUGGUCAUUUAGAGGAAGUAAAAGUCGUAACAAGGUUUCCGUAGCUCAAGUCUACGAAGAACAGUAAUGUUCCUUCCGCAGAGUACACUUGCAGAAGCCUUAGUGGCCUGAAAGGGUUUCAUCAGCGACUCUAAACAAGUAGGUGGAUUAAACGCUAGUCUCUUUCAAAGAGGCGACACUAUCAAAUUGCGGGAAGAUCCUGUCAGGUCCACAUCACCGCGGCUCACCGAAAGGUGUAGUGCAGCACCAGGCUAACAACCUUGGGUAUGGUAAUAGUAUGUGGAAUAGGGAGAAUCUGCAGCCAAGCCCCUCUCCUGGGGUGCAGUUCACAGGCCAAAUGGUAGUGGGCACUCUGGUGCUUAAGAUAUGGUCGAGUCCCAAUUGAAAAAUUGGGUACAAGUACUCUGAUUGAUUACAUACAGUCUAUGCUCAGUCAAAUACAGCUAGUUGUAAAUGCAAAUGUUCCGUAGGUGAACCUGCGGAAGGAUCAUUAAUGAAUUAAAGUCGGUCUUCUGUGCUGGUGGCAACACAUGUGCACGUUGAUCGCAAAUCCACACACCUGUGCACCUUUGACUUUGGGAUCUAUUUAUCUGACUUGACUUUGUGCCUGUCUGGAUCCCAGAGUAUUUUUACACACUCUGAAUGUAAUGGAAUGUAUCUGUGCAUAAUGCGCAAAAAUACAACUUUCAACAACGGAUCUCUUGGCUCUCGCACCGAUGAAGAACGCAYCGAAAUGCGAUAAGUAAUGUGAAUUGCAGAAUUCAGUGAAUCAUCGAAUCUUUGAACGCACCUUGCACCCUUUGGUAUUCCGAAGGGUACACCCGUUUGAGUGUCAUUGUAAUCUCACUCCAUCAGCUAUUUGUUGAUGGAUGUGGACCUGGACUCUGUUGUGUUACUACAACUGGUCUGAAAUGCAUGAGUGCACCCUGCUAUUGCAGCGUUUUCAGUGUGAUAAGCAUCUUCACUGGACCAAGCUCCCUUGGGACACGCAGCAUUGUGGGCUCUGUGCUGGCAAACUGUCUUUGGACAACUUUGACAAUUUGACCUCAGAUCGGGUGGGACUACCCGCUGAACUUAAGCAUAUCAAUAAGCGGAGGAAAAGAAACUAACAAGGAUUCCCCUAGUAACGGCGAGUGAAGAGGGAAAAGCUCAAAUUUUGAAUCUGGUGCCUUUGGCAUCCGAGUUGUAAUCUAGAGAAGUGUUUUUUGCCUUGGACCACACAUAAAUUCCCUGGAAUGGGGUGUCAUAGAGGGUGAGAAUCCCGUUUGUGGUGUGGACUACCUUGGCUAUGUAAUACACUCUCAACGAGUCGAGUUGUUUGGGAAUGCAGCUCAAAAUGGGUGGUAAAUUCCAUCUAAAGCUAAAUACUGGCGAGAGACCGAUAGCGAACAAGUACCGUGAGGGAAAGAUGAAAAGCACUUUGGAAAGAGAGUGAAACAGUACGUGAAAUUGUUGAAAGGGAAGCGUUUGAAGUCAGUCACAUUGGUCAGAAUUCAGCCUGGCUUCUGCCUGGUUCACUUUUUGGCAAAUGGGUCAGCAUCAAUUUUGAUUGAGGGAGAAAGACUUGAGGAAUGUGGCUGUCUUCGGACAGUGUUAUAGCCUCUUGUUGUAUGUCUCAAUUGGGAUUGAGGAAUGCAGCACGCCUUAUGGCCGGGGUUCGCCCUCGGUACGUGCUUAGGAUGUUGACAUAAUGGCUUUAAGCGACCCGUCUUGAAACACGGACCAAGGAGUCUAACAUGUGCGCGAGUGUUUAGGUGUCAAACCUGGGCGCGUAAUGAAAGUGAAAAGUCGGGAUCAUGUACUUGUGCACCGACACCCGGAGCAGACCUUCUGUGACGCAUCCGCGGUAGAGCGUAUAUGUUGGGACCCGAAAGAUGGUGAACUAUGCCUGAAUAGGGUGAAGCCAGAGGAAACUCUGGUGGAGGCUCGUAGCGAUUCUGACGUGCAAAUCGAUCGUCAAAUUUGGGUAUAGGGGCGAAAGACUAAUCGAACCAUCUAGUAGCUGGUUCCUGCCGAAGUUUCCCUCAGGAUAGCAGAAACUCAUUAUCAGCCUUGUGCGGUAAAGCGAAUGAUUAGAGGCCUUGGGGUUGAAACAACCUUAACCUAUUCUCAAACUCUAAAUGUGCAAGAUAGAGUUGUCACUUGAUUGGACUUCUCUGUGGGUGAGAGUUUCUAGUGGG
rnacentral:rRNA from 1 species